rnacentral:rRNA from 1 species
AUGCAAGUCCGAGCGAGAUCCUUCGGAUCCUAGCGGCGGACGGGUGAGUAACGCGUGGGGAUGUGCCCUUUGCUACGGAAUAGUCCCGGGAAACUGGGUUUAAUACCGUAUGAGCCCUUCGGGGGAAAGAUUUAUCGGCAAAGGAUCAACCCGCGUUGGAUUAGGUAGUUGGUGGGGUAAUGGGCUACCAAGCCGACGAUCCAUAGCUGGUUUGAGAGGAUGAUCAGCCACACUGGGACUGAGACACGGCCCAGACUCCUACGGGAGGCAGCAGUGGGGAAUCUUAGACAAUGGGGGCAACCCUGAUCUAGCCAUGCCGCGUGAACGAUGAAGGCCUUAGGGUUGUAAAGUUCUUUCAGCUGGGAAGAUAAUGACGGUACCAGCAGAAGAAGCCCCGGCUAACUCCGUGCCAGCAGCCGCGGUAAUACGGAGGGGGCUAGCGUUGUUCGGAAUUACUGGGCGUAAAGCGCACGUAGGCGGACUAUUAAGUCAGGGGUGAAAUCCCGGGGCUCAACCCCGGAACUGCCUCUGAUACUGGUAGUCUUGAGUUCGAGAGAGGUGAGUGGAAUUCCGAGUGUAGAGGUGAAAUUCGUAGAUAUUCGGAGGAACACCAGUGGCGAAGGCGGCUCACUGGCUCGAUACUGACGCUGA